CGGGGAAUAGUACAAAGGUCAGUAUGCUUGGCUUUGACCCAAGAGAUUUGAGUUCGAUUCUCAAUUCCCCUG
rnacentral:tRNA from 1 species